GAUGAAGAACGUAGCGAAAUGCGAUAAGUAAUGCGAAUUGCAGAAUUCCAGUGAAUCAUCGAAUCUUUGAACGCACAUUGCGCCCGCUGGUAUUCCGGCGGGCAUGCCUGUUCGAGCGUCAUUUCAACCCUCAAGCUCUCCGGAGUUUGGUGUUGGGGCGCCUGGGGCUUUUCGACCUCAGGGCCCUCAAGUCCAUCGGCGGGACCGCCAGGACACUGAGCGCAGUAGUAUUAUUUCGCUCGGUAGGAUCUUCCACGGCGGGUCGAUCUGGCCGCUAAACCCCCCAAUUCUCACCAAAGGUUGACCUCGGAUCAGGUAGGAAUACCCGCUGAACUUAAGCAUAUCAAUAAGCGGAGGA
rnacentral:misc_RNA from 1 species